CCUACGGGAGGCAGCAGUGAGGAAUAUUGGUCAAUGGACGAGAGUCUGAACCAGCCAAGUAGCGUGAAGGAUGACUGCCCUAUGGGUUGUAAACUUCUUUUAUAUGGGAAUAAAAUGUUCCACGUGUGGGAUUUUGUAUGUACCAUAUGAAUAAGGAUCGGCUAACUCCGUGCCAGCAGCCGCGGUAAUACGGAGGAUCCGAGCGUUAUCCGGAUUUAUUGGGUGUAAAGGGAGCGUAGGUGGAUUGUUAAGUCAGUUGUGAAAGUUUGCGGCUCAACCGUAAAAUUGCAGUUGAAACUGGCAGUCGUGAGUACAGUAGAGGUGGGCGGAAUUCGUGGUGUAGCGGUGAAAUGCUUAGAUAUCACGAAGAACUCCGAUUGCGAAGGCAGCUCACUGGACUGCAACUGACACUGAGGCUCGAAAGUGUGGGUAUCAAACAGGAUGAGAUACCCUUGUAGUC
rnacentral:rRNA from 1 species